GAUGAACGCUGGCGGCGUGUUUAACACAUGCAAGUCGAGCGAGAAGCUCAUGACAGAUACUUCGGUUGAUGGAUUGAGUGGAAAGCGGCGGACGGGUGAGUAACGCGUAGGCAACCUGCCCCGUGCAGAGGGAUAGCCUCGGGAAACCGGGAUUAAAACCUCAUAAUGCGCAACUGAGACAUCUCGGAUGCGCCAAAGAUUUAUCGGCACGGGGUGGGCCUGCGUCUGAUUAGUUAGUUGGUGGGGUAACGGCCUACCAAGGCGACGAUCAGUAGCCGACCUGAGAGGGUGAUCGGCCACAUUGGAACUGAGACACGGUCCAA
rnacentral:rRNA from 1 species